rnacentral:snRNA from 1 species
AUCUUUGCGCUUGGGGCAAUGACGCAGAUAGUGAGGUGAAACCGAGACGCGUCAAUUGCUGGUUGAAAACUAUUUCCAUUAUAUACACACUUACCGAACUUCCUCUCCCUACGAGUUUUGCACAGAUAAGCUGGUUUCUUAAGUACUGCAGUAAAAAUUAUGUCAAGAAAGAGAUUUU